rnacentral:rRNA from 1 species
GGAUUAGAUACCCUGGUAGUCCACGCUGUAAACGAUGUGCACUAGGUGUUGGGCCGUUGAAGGCUCAGUGCCGUAGCUAACGCACUAAGUAGACCGCCUGGGGAGUACGGUCGCAAGAUUAAAACUCAAAUGAAUUGACGGGGGCCCGCACAAGCGGUGGAGCAUGUGGUUUAAUUCGAAGCAACGCGAAGAACCUUACCAGGUCUUGACAUCCCCGGAACUGGCUAGAAAUAGCCGGGUGCCUUCGGGAAUCGGGUGACAGGUGCUGCAUGGCUGUCGUCAGCUCGUGUCG